rnacentral:rRNA from 1 species
AGAGUUUGAUCCUGGCUCAGGACGAACGCUGGCGGCGUGCCUAACACAUGCAAGUCGAGCGGGGAACUUUUAAAAGCGCAAGCUUUUAUAAGUUCCUAGCGGCGAACGGGUGAGUAACACGUGGGCAACCUACCCAGAAGACCGGGAUAACGGCUCGAAAGGGCCGCUAAUACCGGAUAAUGUCGGGGUACCGCAUGGUACUCCGAAGAAAGGGGAAACCCGCUUUUGGAUGGGCCCGCGUCCCAUCAGCUAGUUGGUGAGGUAACGGCUCACCAAGGCGACGACGGGUAGCCGGUCUGAGAGGAUGGUCGGCCACACUGGGACUGAGACACGGCCCAGACUCCUACGGGAGGCAGCAGUUGGGAAUCUUGGGCAAUGGGCGAAAGCCUGACCCAGCGACGCCGCGUGAGGGAAGAAGGCCUUCGGGUCGUAAACCUCUGUCAUGGGGGAAGAAGCAAGUGACGGUACCCCAAGAGGAAGCCCCUGCUAACUACGUGCCAGCAGCCGCGGUAAUACGUAGGGGCGAGCGUUGUCCGGAUUUACUGGGCGUAAAGGGCGAGUAGGCGGUCUGUUAAGUCAGGUGUGAAAUUCCAGGGCUCAACCCUGGGACU